GCCGAAGUGGCGGAAUGGUAUACGCGUCAGUCUCAAAAACUGAUGAUCCUAACAGGUCUUGGGGGUUCGACUCCCCCCUUCGGCA
rnacentral:tRNA from 1 species